CAUGUCUUUUUGAUUAUGAUUUAAAGUCUAAUCUGCCCCCUGAUUUUAAUUUAAUGGCUGCAGUAAUUUGACUGUACAAAGGUAGCGUGAUAAUUAGUUUUUUAAUUGAAAGCUGGUAUGAAUGAUUGGACGAGAGAAGAGCUGUCUCAUUAUAAUAUUUUUAAAAUUUAAUUUUUGAGUUAAAAAGCUCAAAUAUUUUUAAGGGACGAGAAGACCCUAUAGAGUUUUAUAGUUAGUUAUUAAUUUAUUUUUAGUUAAAUUUUUAUUUUUAUUAUAAUUAUUUGGUUGGGGUGAUUUAAAGAUUUAAUUAACUCUUUUUUAUUUAAACAAUUAUAUUUGAAUUUUUGAUCUAUUUUUUAAUUGUAAGAUUAAAUUACCUUAGGGAUAACAGCGUAAUUUUCAUAAGAGUUCUUAUUAGAUUGGAAGAUUGCGACCUCGAUGUUGGAUUAAAAUUAUAUUUUUGGUGAAGAAGCUGAAAAAUUAAGUCUGUUCGACUUUUAAAAUUUUACAUGAUCUGAGU
rnacentral:rRNA from 1 species